CCUGCAGCCUUUCUUUCUCUCCUUUGAUUCAUCUGUUUCACUUUACCUUUUGGCUCUCCAUUUUCUGGUUUCCUCAUCUGGGUUUUCCUCCGCCUUCAUCGUUGUGCGCCCUGUUUUCUAUCAAUUUCUUUUUUUUGGUUUCACAAAAUUACCUCCGGGCGGACACGUUCUUUGAUUUUUGGAAUAGUUGUUGGCUGUUCUUCUCUGUUUUUGGGUGCGAACCGUAUCGAUUUCGUCUUUUUCGCCGUUUUGUUAACUGAUUUUCGCUCAAUUUUGGGUGAUCUUUGUAUUCAAGUGAUCGUCAGACAAAUCGUAUUCAGUUUGGAUAGAAGCAAAGUGAAAACUUUUGAUUGUGGAUUCCAUUAGCAUUUUGAAAGUUGUGUGCUUUUCCAUAUGUGGUUUUUCUCCGAUCAUGUUCAAUUGAUCAUUGCAGUUGAAAGAAUUGACGGCUAAGUUACUAAUAAAGCAAAGACUGAGCCAUGGUGAGACACAAGCUUUCGUUACACCCUGCAAACUGGUGGUAGUCUUGGUUUAGCAAUUGGCAGCGAGAUUACACUCCUCACUACGUUGUAAAUUCGACUGACUCAUUCUAUAAGAAUUGUUUCAGUUUGUGUUUACGGUUUCCAUUCAAUGUAAUCCCUCUUCUCAGUUUCUUUUCAGAAUUGAUUUCUAUUCCAAUUUCGCAAUGUUUAUAUUUUUCACCAUGUUGGAAGUUUAAGGGUCUUUUUAGUAAUGAAUCUUCUUCCUUAUAGGUAA